rnacentral:misc_RNA from 1 species
CAAGAAUCGAGGCUGACGGUGCCUACUCCCUAGGCUCCGUCCAGUCCCGCUCUCUACCUUGCCUACUGCACCGUUUGUUGCUUCCUGGCGGCGUCCCGUCGCCAGGGCCUUUGAAAGCCAAGUAUAAGCAUUGAAACUUCUGACAUACACUAAAUCGUA